ACUUAUCUUCAGGGCGAGGUGUAAAUCCUCACCGGCGGUUAUAGUCCGCGAGUUUUAACUGAAUCGGUGAAAUUCCGAUACCGACGGUAUAGUCCGGAUGAAAGAAGAUUUUU
rfam:Peptoniphilus sp. BV3C26 contig00002, whole genome shotgun sequence.